UCUAGGUUCUUGCAUGGUGCUCAUCUCUGUAGCAUGUGGGCACCUUGCUUGGAGACAUUAACAAACUGAGCUUUGGUAUCCUGGUGAGAUCACUCUUUGGUAUCCUGCUGAGGUGCAGGCACAGCACCUUGCACUGCAGGGUCCUGGUCCGUGACUGGGGCUCUUCGUGUGAUCGCAAUACUAAAUGAUGAUGAUGGGGCUGUCAGCAGAGGAGGAGCUUACUUCUAUUAGAUGUCUUUUCCGAAGAAGGUCCUAGGGUGAAAUCCACCCCUGUGCAGAGGAACAGAGGAACAGCCACCAGUUUGGCCGAAUACCGGUGACUGAACUGGGGAACCUCCAGAGCUGAAGAGGGGGUCCCAGCGGAGUCUGAAGACAUGGCCUCAUAGCCCAUGUAUCCUGCCCCUGCUGCUUUAACCAGGCUCUGAAGGAGGGUGUGACAGUGAAACUCCUCACUGAGAUCCUGCAGGACAGUGGGCCGUAGCAUUCACACCAUAAAGACUUUAAAGCCUUCAGCACCAACAUCAAGGGAGGAGGAAGAGCCCCCCAUAAAGGCAUCACAGCACUCAGCACGCUGCCCACUGAGAAGCCCUAAGGAAUCUCUAAAGUCACUGCACGGCUAAUGAAGCAUUUUUACUGAAAUCUCAAAAUCUCAGAACAUUGCUAAUUGCAAAACAAAUAAACUUGCUCUCUAAUCAGGCCUCCUGCCAAACCACUGACUAAGUUAGUUGCCUCUCU